CCCUGCCUGGCCCCAGCCUCCCGGCACUUUAAAAGCGGGGCUGUGCUGGAUUAUUCCCAGGGAGCGCCUCCAAAACAUCCGAAACAUUUCCGAAACGUUUUGGAUGGUUUCGUUUCAUUUCAGAGCCUUCUGUUUAGUUUUGGAUUCAGUGUUUCGGGCACUGAAAUGGGCCAAAACACCUCCAAAACUAAACAGCUGCCAAAAUUUCACACAGCCCUAGUUUCCAUGUCUUAAGUGGGAAGGCUGAUUUUCCUUGACUGGACUAGAAGCCGGCAUGUGUGAAGAAUGAGUUGAUCCUCCUCUUGCUAUAGCAUUGCAGCAUCAGGUAACUGUAAAGCCUCGAUCUUUGGGUGUAGCUGGUGCCCAGGCACUUGAACAGAGUGCCCUUGGCGCCUGCAGUGACUGUCAGUUUUCUGACACUCACAAUAAGAAGGGGCGGAUCCUGUGUUAACCCUCUGGGGCUUCACCUUAUUAUUGUCCUGUCACAUGAGAAAGGUCCUGCUACCUUCCCCAGACUGUCUCUCAAGAUGCUAUGGUUCCUGGAUGCUGUUUCCACAACUGACUCUCUCACACAGUUGGUGAUAACUCUAGACAAAUCUUUUUUCCUAUGUUCUGCCUUCCAAAAACAAGGUGCAUGCCUUAUUGGGAGCAUGUGGUAUGCAAGAAACUAAUGUAUACUGCUGCUUUAUUUUAUCUUGUUGCAUUCAUGUCUUCUCCUUAUUAAGAUCGGUUUUCAACUGAAGCAGCACGUCUUCAUGGUUGCACAGUUUAGAAACAUUACAGAUUACCAAGCUCUCUAUGACUGUACUGUCUUUCUCUUCCCUAAAGAGUUAUGAUCACAGUUGUAAACAGUGUGGGAUUGUGUGGUUUAGCACCGAGUCUGGCCCUGUAUGCCACACCACUUUGGUAUAGGAAAAAUGAACAGCUCCCAGAGGGGCAGUGGAGAGGUCCAUUGGUCCAGACACUACACAGCUCUGCACCCAGGAAGGUCUGGAGGUGGAGUCUGAGACCAGGCCAUAUUGCACAGUUCUGAAUCCCUUCUAGGUUUAGUCCUACUGAAUGGAAUCCUGGGAAGGCUGCCAUACCUUACAACAGACCUCAGGGCUGCCUCAUGUACACUGGUGGGAUGUUUUGGCCCCUUGAGCAGCUUGAAUUCUAGAUUGUGCCUCUCAUUCAGUCUGGGCUUAGCCUGUUGAGCUUCCCACAGGUGCAACACAGGAUCUCAGCCAUAGCAUCCAGUUUAAAACUGUGUGGUCACAAUGUUGUAAUUAGUGGAAAUCUUAUGUAUUUGUGAGCCAGGAAAUUGGGAGCCAAGGUCAUGCAGUGAUUGCUGCAGUUUCCUUUUAAGCUUUCCCACCCCACUCCCUGUCAACCUCAGUGGGAUUCUUGUGAGCGCUGCAUUAAAUGGCAACAGCAUAUGCCCAGUAAGAAGCACUGAUGAAGCAUGACCAAUAGCAUCUUGGGGCCAGAGCAUAAUCCAGUCAUACAGUUCUGUCUGACUUCACAGUUAUGGAGUGCAGCUGGAACCCUAAAGUCUAGCUAAAGUCUAAACUGAAAUUUGUACUCGUUACUAAUUCAAAUAAAAUGAAAUGAACUGGCAUCUAGCUAAUACCUUUUUCUAAAUGCUAAUCUAGUGUAAGCCAGACCAAAGUCUUGGAGCAAACCAUUUGUGGAAUGUCUAAGCAUUUGCAAAGCCUUUCUUAAUGAGCUGGCAGUUGUUUGUGACAGGUGCAGUAAUUCAAGUAGUGAUAGAGCAGCUUCUCAGCUCUGCCCCAUUCCUCACCCAUGCACUGACCCAGCACAAAACCAACCCUUAUAACAGGCUGCAGAGAUCUUUAAAGGGCUGUGUGAGUCAAGCCAGUGAUGUUGGUUGCUAAGUUGGUGCCAGUGCAAAUUCUACCCCCACAAGCAUCCUUGACCCUUGGGGUGUGGCGGAAUGGUGCUGACAGGUGAAGGCAGAGUACCGGAGUUUCCAUCAUGCUGGGGAGUGGUCAGAUGGGGCUGAGGUCAUGAUGCAAGAGCUCAUAGAGGCCUCCCUGCAAUGUUCCUGGACCUCUCAACUGUUCCCUGUCAUGCAGCAAAGGAAUUCCCAUCUGUACUGGAGCAGUUCUGAGUGACAGAACUAUAGAUGUGCAUCUUGCCCUGUCAGCUGAAGAUUAGAUAUCCCUGGAUGUCCUGACUGGAGAUCUGCAGGCUGAGAAGAGCACAUAGCGUCCAUAGUUCCCUCUACAAGCAGUGCAUCAAGUGUCAGAAAUCAAUGCAGGUCUGAGCAGGACAGAUGGACAGGAGUGUGGACCAGGGCUGAGUCUGAUGACCAGGU